AAGACCUUGCGCUGAUUGAGCGGCCGAUAUCAGAUUAGCUUGUUGGUGAGGUAAAAGCUCACCAAGGCGACGAUCUGUAGCGGGUCUGAGAGGAUGAUCCGCCACACUGGAACUGAGACACGGUCCAGACUCCUACGGGAGGCGGCAGUGGGGAAUUUUGGACAAUGGGGGCAACCCUGAUCCAGCCAUGCCGCGUGAGUGAAGAAGGCCUUCGGGUUGUAAAGCUCUUUCAGCCGGGAAGAAAACGCAUGGGUUAAUACCCUGUGUGGAUGACGGUACCGGAAUAAGAAGCACCGGCUAACUACGUGCCAGCAGCCGCGGUAAUACGUAGGGUGCGAGCGUUAAUCGGAAUUACUGGGCGUAAAGCGUGCGCAGGCGGUUUUGUAAGACAGGCGUGAAAUCCCCGGGCUUAACCUGGGAACU
rnacentral:rRNA from 1 species